GUGGACUUCGUGGGAGUGAGAAUGCAGACAUGAGUAGCGAGAGACGGGUGAGGAUCCCGUCCGCUGGAUGACCAAGGGUUCCGGGGCCACGUUCGUCGUCCCCGGGUGAGUCGGGUCCUAAGGCGAGGCCGACAGGCGUAGUCGAAUGGAUGAACGGGUGGAUAUUCCCGUACCGACCAUGGACCGGCAAAACCGAGACGGUGAGUACUAACCUCCGCCUCGUGGUGGUUCCUUCCUUCGGGUUGGUAUCGCCGCGUGGUGUUGGGAGCGUAGCCGCAGUAGGUCAGCGCAGGGGUGACACGGAAUGGGAGCCGGCCGCGGAGGUGGUUUUCCGUGGUCAAGCACGCAGCCAGUCAUGUAGGCAAAUCCGCAUGGCGUGCAUGGCGAGGUGUGAUGAUGGGAGCCGUUAUGGUUCGAUAUCCGGUUGUCCAGGCCGUCGAGAAAAGCCUCGGCGUGAGGGCCAUGGCCGCCCGUACCCCAAACCGACACUGGUGGUCAGGUAGAGAAUACCAAGGCGAUCGAGCGAAUCCUGGUCAAGGAACUCGGCAAAUCACUCCCGUGCCUUCGGUAUAAGGGAGACCCACUGGGGUGAAGGACCUUGCGUCCGGAGCUUUGGUGGGUGGCACAGACCAGGGGGUAGCGACUGUUUACCAAAAACACAGGUGCAUGCGAAGGCGAAAGCCGCUGUAUAUGCACUGACGCCUGCCCGGUGCCGGAAGGUUAAGAGGAUCCGUCAAUCCCUUCGGGGACGAAGCGGUGAAUUCAAGCCCCGGUAAACGGCGGUGGUAACUAUAACCAUCCUAAGGUAGCGAAAUUCCUUGUCGGGUAAGUUCCGACCUGCACGAAUGGCGUAACGACUUCCCCACUGUCUCGACCAGGAGCUCGGCGAAAUUGCAGUACGAGUAAAGAUGCUCGUUAAGCGCAGAAGGACGAAAAGACCCCGGGACCUUUACUAUACCUUGGUAUUGGCGUUAGGCGCGGAUUGUGUAGCAUAGGCGGGAGGCUUCGAAGCGGGUGCGCCAGCAUUCGUGGAGCCGCAAGGUGAAAUACCGCUCUGUUCUCGUUUGACGUCUAACCUCGACAAGUCAUCCUUGUCAGGGACAGUGCCUGGCGGGUAGUUCAACUGGGGCGGUUGCCUCCCAAAGAGUAACGGAGGCGCUCAAAGGUCCGCUCAGCCCGGUUGGCAAUCGGGUGUCGAGUGUAAUCGCACAAGCGGGCUUGACUGCGAGGACGACGGUCCGAGCAGGGACGAAAGUCGGAGAUAGUGAUCCGGUGCCGGCGCACGGGCGCGGCAUCGCUCAACGGAUAAAAGGUACCCCGGGGAUAACAGGCUGAUCAUUCCCAAGAGUCCAUAUCGACGGGAUGGUUUGGCACCUCGAUGUCGGCUCGUCGCAUCCUGGGGCUGGAGCAGGUCCCAAGGGUUCGGCUGUUCGCCGAUUAAAGCGGCACGCGAGCUGGGUUCAGAACGUCGUGAGACAGUUUGGUCUCUAUCCUCUGCGCUCGUUGGAAUCCUGAGGAGGCCUGCCCAUAGUACGAGAGGACCUGGGUGGACGAACCUCUGGUAUGCCGGUUGUCGCGCCAGCGGCACGGCCGGUUGGCUACGUUCGGGAGGGAUAACCGCUGAAAGCAUCUAAGCGGGAAGCCUGCUCCAAGAUUAGGAUUCCGUACGGUCUUGAACUGUUGUAGCCCGCAUGUUGAACACGUGUUUGAUAGGCCGGAGGUGGAAGCCCCGUGAGGGGUGGAGCCGACCGGUACUAACGGGCGACGGCGACAUAAC
rnacentral:rRNA from 1 species